GGUAAAAUGGCUGAGACUAAGCGAUAAAUUGUAAAUUUAUAAACGAAACUUAUUUCUUUUACCA
rnacentral:tRNA from 1 species